rnacentral:rRNA from 1 species
GAUGAACGCUAGCGGCAGGCCUAAUACAUGCAAGUCGAACGGUGUCUUCGGACAUAGUGGCGCACGGGUGCGUAACACGUAUGCAACCUACCUUACAUUGGGGGAUAGCCUUUCGAAAGGGAGAUUAAUACCGCAUAAGACAGUAGCUGGGCAUCCAGCAGCUGUUAAAGAUUUAUCGAUGUAAGCUGGGCAUGCGUCCAAUUAGCUAGUUGGUGAGGUAACGGCUCACCAAGGCAAUGAUUGGUAGGGGAACUGAGAGGUCGAUCCCCCACACUGGCACUGGGAUACGGGCCAGACUCCUACGGGAGGCAGCAGUAGGGAAUAUUGGGCAAUGGACGCAAGUCUGACCCAGCCAUGCCGCGUGCAGGAUGAAGGCGUUAUGCGUUGUAAACUGCUUUUAUACAGGAAGAAACGACUCUUGCGAGAGGCAUUGACGGUACUGUAUGAAUAAGCACCGGCUAACUCCGUGCCAGCAGCCGCUGUAACAC